rnacentral:rRNA from 1 species
GAUGAACGCUAGCGGGAGGCCUAACACAUGCCAGCCGAGCGGUAUUGUUUCUUCGGAAAUGAGAGAGCGGCGUACGGGUGCGUAACACGUGUGCAACCUGCCUUUAUCUGGGGGAUAGCCUUUCGAAAGGAAGAUUAAUACUCCAUAAUAUAUUGAACGGCAUCGUUUAGUAUUGAAAGCUCCGGCGGAUAGAGAUGGGCACGCGCAAGAUUAGCUAGUUGGUGAGGUAACGGCUCACCAAGGCGAUGAUCUUUAGGGGGCCUGAGAGGGUGAUCCCCCACACUGGUACUGAGACACGGACCAGACUCCUACGGGAGGCAGCAGUGAGGAAUAUUGGUCAAUGGGUGCAAGCCUGAACCAGCCAUCCCGCGUGAAGGACGACUGCCCUAUGGGUUGUAAACUUCUUUUGUAUAGGGAUAAACCUACCCUCGAGAGGGUAGCUGAAGGUACUAUACGAAUAAGCACCGGCUAACUCCGUG